CAAGCCUCGGUGGCAGAAAGAGAGUGGGAUAAUGCUUUUAGAGGACGCGGUGGGAGUGGGAUGCAGAUGCUAAACCAGGCAGUCUUCCUCCAGCGGUGCACCCUAGAGCUCUAGAGAGGGCGACACUGGCCAGCGGCGGGGGGAAAUGAAAACCUGUUUGCAGCAGGAGAGGUCUGUGCUGCGCUCCAAUUUUCUCAGCAACAAUAUAUAGCCUCAGUUGGAAGGCAAUUACACUGAAGUGUUCUCCACGAAAAUAGCCAAGAGUCUGGGCCGGGAUCCGCUAGCAGUCAUCUCUCAGAUGAGCCCUACCAAUGGCUUCCUGAACCUGAUGAGAAGCUCGACUGGCUGCUAAUGAGGAUGAUGAAUGAGAGAGGACAGGCCAAAAGAAAUCUUGACAGCUCCCUGAAGGAUGACCAAACCGCAAGCAGAGCUCAGGAGAUCGAGGCAAUCUAGAC